GGGCGCCUUAGAGUUUGAUCCUGGCUCAGGAUGAACGCUAGCGGGAGGCUUAACACAUGCAAGUCGAGCGGGAAGGGUAGCAAUACUCUGAGAGCGGCGCACGGGUGCGUAACGCGUAUGCAACCUGCCUUAUACAGGGGGAUAGCCCAUGGAAACGUGGAUUAACACCCCAUAGGACUGGAAUUUCGCAUGGGAAUUCAGUUAAAAUUACGGUGGUAUAAGAUGGGCAUGCGUCUGAUUAGGUAGUUGGUAGGGUAACGGCCUACCAAGCCGACGAUCAGUAGGGGUUCUGAGAGGAUUACCCCCCACACUGGUACUGAGACACGGACCAGACUCCUACGGGAGGCAGCAGUGAGGAAUAUUGGUCAAUGGGCGAGAGCCUGAACCAGCCAUCCCGCGUGCAGGAUGACGGCCCUAUGGGCUGUAAACUGCUUUUCUGCUCCAAGAAACCUGAUUACGAGUAAUCAGUUGACGGUAGAGUAGGAAUAAGCAUCGGCUAACUCCGUGCCAGCAGCCGCGGUAAUACGGAGGAUGCAAGCGUUAUCCGGAUUCAUUGGGUUUAAAGGGUGCGCAGGUUGGAAUGUAAGUCAGUGGUGAAAUACUGCCGCUUAACGGUAGAACUGCCAUUGAUACUGCGUUUCUUGAGUAUGGUUGAGGUAGGUGGAAUGUGUUGUGUAGCGGUGAAAUGCAUAGAUAUGACACAGAACGCCGAUUGCGAAGGCAGCUUACUAAGCCAUUACUGACGCUGAGGCACGAAAGCGUGGGGAUCGAACAGGAUUAGAUACCCUGGUAGUCCACGCCGUAAACGAUGAUCACUCGCUGUUUGCGAUAUACAGCAAGCGGCUGAGCGAAAGCAUUAAGUGAUCCACCUGGGGAGUACGAUCGCAAGGUUGAACUCAAAAGGAAUUGACGGGGGCCCGCACAAGCGGAGGAACAUGUGGUUUAAUUCGAUGAUACGCGAGGAACCUUACCUGGGCUUAAAUGUAGAUUGCAUGGAUUGGAAACAGUCCUUCCCUUCGGGGCUAUUUACAGGUGCUGCAU
rnacentral:rRNA from 1 species